rnacentral:tRNA from 2 species
CGCAGGAUGAAGCCGCAAGGCGCGGCGGCGGUUUGCUAAACCGUUUCGCUCUGGCAAGGGUGGGGUUCGAGUCCUCCGUUCUGCGCCA